rnacentral:rRNA from 1 species
AGGGAAUCUUCCGCAAUGGACGAAAGUCUGACGGAGCAACGCCGCGUGAGUGAAGAAGGUUUUCGGAUCGUAAAACUCUGUUGUCAGAGAAGAACAAGUCGGAGAGUAACUGCUCCGGCCUUGACGGUAUCUGACCAGAAAGCCACGGCUAACUACGUGCCAGCAGCCGCGGUAAUACGUAGGUGGCAAGCGUUGUCCGGAUUUAUUGGGCGUAAAGCGAGCGCAGGCGGUUCCUUAAGUCUGAUGUGAAAGCCCACGGCUCAACCGUGGAAGGUCAUUGGAAACUGGGGAACUUGAGUGCAGAAGAGGAGAGUGGAAUUCCAUGUGUAGCGGUGAAAUGCGUAGAUAUAUGGAGGAACACCAGUGGCGAAGGCGACUCUCUGGUCUGUAACUGACGCUGAGGCUCGAAAGCGUGGGGAGCAAAC